UCUGCCUACGGGGCGCAGCAGUGAGGAAUAUUGGUCAAUGGGCGCAAGCCUGAACCAGCCAAGUCGCGUGAGGGAAGACGGCCCUACGGGUUGUAAACCUCUUUUGCCGGGGAGCAAGCCUGAGCACGUGUGCCCAGGCGGAGAGUACCCGGAGAAAAAGCAUCGGCUAACUCCGUGCCAGCAGCCGCGGUAAUACGGAGGAUGCGAGCGUUAUCCGGAUUUAUUGGGUUUAAAGGGUGCGCAGGCGGGCUGUUAAGCCGGCGGUAAAAGCCCGGGGGUCAACCCCGGGGAGCCGUUGAAACUGG
rnacentral:rRNA from 1 species